GGCGAGGUGGCUGAGUGGCUAAGGCGAUGGAUUGCUAAUUUAUUGGGCUGCGCCCGCAUGGGUUCGAGUCCCACCCUCGUCG